CUGAUUUCAUUAUUGAAUAAAAUGCAUUUAACUGUUCAGAGUUAUGAUUACCGAAGAUCCUCAAGUGCUCUUCUUUCUGUUCCUCUUGGUUGUAGCUCAUCUCUUCAUUAAGUAGCCUGUUUCCAAGUUCUAUUAUCUCUGAAGAAUUUGUAAGUUCUAUUCCUGGGUAUUCAUUAAGUGUCUUUCCAGCUUGUUUCAUGAGCUUCUGUAUUUCCACCAAGGCGUGUCCUUGCUUCUGUGAAGCUGUCAGGCAAAGUGUAGGAUAUAACUUCCCAGCAUAAUAAUCUGCCGCUCAUGUACCUACAUAAGUAUUUCUACCAACAAACCGUGAAACGGAGCUGGAGCAUACCCUAUUAGCUAUAUCAAGGCUGUAGCAACUUGAUACCAAUUAAGAUUUGCGAUUACAGGAAGGACAAAAGAUAAGUAUUGGAAUUGAACCUGCCAAUAUGAGGAACUGCUUCACUGCGAGGCAGUAUUGUAUCCCUGAGAGAUCCAAAGUCCAUACUCCAGAGUGCUCACGUCACCAAUAAAACCAUGGUAUGUUAUCCUCAUGCUUGUACCUUGGUUGUAGAGUACAAACCUACAAAAUAAGAGAAUAAUACUUCUGAAUAUAUAUCGCUAGAGACGUCUCUAGAGCCAACAGGAAAAUAGAAAUCAUACUGAACUACAGAAGGCAAACAAAUCCCUAUCAAAAUAGUUCCUAGCUACUGAUAUACUACUUUUUACCUCCAUAUGCAGAAUGAAUCAACUGUUUGCUACUUUGGUAGAGACUAAGAAUGAAUCAACUGUUUGCUACUUUGGAAGAGACGAAAACUGUGUCAUAGAACUUACAGAGACAUAAAUUUAAACUGUGGUCAAGGUUAUCGGUGCUAGGGCCCCAGGAAUCUCUUUGAAAGAGGGAUACCAUUGCAGAAUACAUGGGGCAAGUUCGCUCGGCCGCUGGAGUCAUGGAGAUCGCAGAUGUUGUUGGGGCCAUCGGGUGCCUACUUAUACCGUGAGGCAGCUCCUGAUCUUCGCCUACGCUGGCCUGCCACAACCACACUUGCUGCCUAGAACUUAGGGUUGUGUAGACGCACGUACAAGUUUAACUCAGCUUCAAGUCCAUACACUUAUACUCCAUGUCAUCACAGUUGGCCGGCCGUCUCAGAGCACCAAGGCGAACUCAAGGAUAACAACAACCGCGUGCGCUUGGACCUGCACCUGCACCUCCAAGAAAGACGGUAUGCUUCUUUUCUUCCCUGAGAACCCAAAGAUCAGGUUCAGAGAUCUCAUCUAGAUCUGUAUGGCAUCGAGGACUGAGACUGGGAAGCAUGCGUCAUUGAUGAUGUUGAAGUUCGGUUCCUGAGACCAUGGCAUGAAUCUGGCACGUCUCCACGGAGCAUAUCGUAUCUAGCUCUUGGAGGACUAUAUGUCUAGUAGUGUUCUGUUGACUCCCUUACCUCAAUGAGGCAAAUCGAGAUUGAAAUAUUAGCCACUCGUGUGGUGCACUUGGAGGAGGUUGGCCCGGCCGGCCGGCGGAGCACGCGAUGGCACAUACGGCGGCGUGCGUGAGGGCUUGCGGGGAGUUCGUGUCUUUUAGGUUUUGAUUUUGCUUCGUAACUUAUGUUAGCUACACAUUACAUCAAAGGGGUAUGAUGAAAAUUUAAUGUAGGGCAUUGGUGGGUAAUUUUAUUGAAUUCUAAUCAAACGGUAAUGAUUGCCUGAUUAGCUUAAUUGUUGGUCGGAUGUUUCUGAUUUUUGUGAGAUUUUCUAGCAAUUUCUCUAAUUUCUGGUGACCACGUAAUGUACUUUUAAUAUAU